CUUUUUCUAGCAGUUCCAGUGAUUUUCUAGAGUUAAUCAGAGAUUUUUUGUGUUUGGUUUUAAAUAUGUGUAAACGUAUGGUCUGUCUGUGUCCUUUUUCCCGUUCCUUCUCCUGACUGCACCCACGCUGGACACCCCAGGCUGAGGCUGGAGGGGGCAUGAGGAGUGGGCCUCCACCUGGCCCCUUUAGGAGGUGGAGGACAGAGGAGCAUUUCCACAUCCAGGCUUCUUAGCUGUGAAGGUCAUGGAGCUCAAGGCUGCUGGAGACCACCCCUGCUGUCACUUGGAACUCAGCCUCCCUGAUCGUGAAGCCAAAUAGCAGAAAGGAGAGCCAAGAGAUGUCAGGAGGAAAAUAAGUCCUGCUGUUGGCCAGUAAGACCCUAGGUACAACUGUGCCUGAAGGCCACCAAACUUCCCAACUUUGAAGUUGUAUGUGCCAGUAAAUUUCCCUUUUUCAUUGUUGUUAAUUUAGUUUGUUAUGUCGCCUUCCCUUGUUCAAGUCAGCCAAGGAACAUCACUGUGUGUCACGUGUCCUCCUUCCUUUCCCUUGCCUCGAGUGCCCUGCCUCAUCCAGGGAAAUCCUAGAAGAUAGAGGUGACAAGCACGCAGGAAGCUUUAUGGAACAUCCAACUCCUCAAGACUCAGCUCAGGCACCACCUCCUCCAGGAAGCCUCCCCUGGUGCCCUAGUGUGCCUUCUCAGGCUGGUUCAUAGCCCGUCUCUGCUGGCCCACAGCUUUUAUUGAGGGUAGCACCACGCAUAAGGGCUAGACUCUGGAACUCACAUGUCCCUGAUUGGAAUGUCAACUCUUGCCAGUUGUGUGACCUUGAACAUAUGAGUAACCUAUCCGUUCUUUGGUUUCAUCAUCUAUAAAAUUAACAUCAGUCUCUCUACCUA